rnacentral:rRNA from 1 species
GUGAACGCUGGCGGUAGGCCUAACACAUGCAAGUCGAACGGCAGCACAGUAAGAGCUUGCUCUUACGGGUGGCGAGUGGCGGACGGGUGAGGAAUACAUCGGAAUCUACUUUUUCGUGGGGGAUAACGUCGGGAAACUUACGCUAAUACCGCAUACGACCUACGGGUGAAAGCAGGGGAUCUUCGGACCUUGCGCGAUUGAUUGAGCCGAUGUCGGAUUAGCUAGUUGGCGGGGUAAAGGCCCACCAAGGCGACGAUCCGUAGCUGGUCUGAGAGGAUGAUCAGCCACACUGGAACUGAGACACGGUCCAGACUCCUACGGGAGGCAGCAGUGGGGAAUAUUGGACAAUGGGCGCAAGCCUGAUCCAGCCAUACCGCGUGGGUGAAGAAGGCCUUCGGGUUGUAAAGCCCUUUUGUUGGGAAAGAAAAGCAGCAGGUUAAUACCCCGCUGUUCUGACGGUACCCAAAGAAUAAGCACCGGCUAACUUCGUG